rnacentral:sRNA from 1 species
AAGUCAUCUUUUAAACGCAAAAGAACUGAAGAACAAGCGUUCUGUGAUUUGAAUGACAGCAAGUGCAAAGGCACAACACUGAAAAAAAUUAUAUUUAUAGAUAGCACCUGGAACCAAACAAACAAAAUAUUCACUGAUGAGCGACUUCAAGGAAUGUACCAGGUCAUCCAGGGUAUCAUCUCUCCUGUCAACGACACCUAUGGGAAGAAAGACCUCGCAGCUUCUCAUCACCGAGUGGCCAUGGCCCGGCUGGCCCUGCAGACAUCCGACUGGAUCCGGGUGGACCCCUGGGAGAGUGAGCAGGCACAGUGGAUGGAGACAGUGAAGGUGCUGAGGCAUCAUCACAGUGAACUGCUCAGAUCUCCACCCCAGAUGGAAGGCCCAGACCAUGGCAAGGCACUCUUCUCGACCCCUGCAGCUGUGCCUGAGCUGAAGCUUCUCUGCGGGGCAGACGUCUUGAAGACCUUCCAGACCCCCAACCUCUGGAAGGAUGCACACAUCCAGGAAAUAGUGGAGAAGUUUGGCUUGGUGUGCGUGGGCCGAGUAGGUCACGACCCAAAAGGUUACAUCGCAGAAUCUCCCAUCCUACGGAUGCACCAGCACAACAUUCACCUGGCCAAGGAGCCUGUGCAGAAUGAGAUCAGUGCCACAUACGUCAGGCGAGCCUUGGGCCAAGGGCAGAGCGUAAAGUACCUGAUUCCCGAUGCUGUCAUCACCUACAUCA